rnacentral:rRNA from 1 species
CCUACGGGCGGCAGCAGUGGGGAAUAUUGCACAAUGGGGGAAACCCUGAUGCAGCGACGCCGCGUGAGUGAAGAAGUAACUCGGUAUGUAAAGCUCUAUCAGCAGGGAAGAAAAUGACGGUACCUGAGUAAGAAGCCCCGGCUAACUACGUGCCAGCAGCCGCGGUAAUACGUAGGGGGCAAGCGUUAUCCGGAUUUACUGGGUGUAAAGGGAGCGUAGACGGCAGUGCAAGUCUGGAGUGAAAUGCGGGGGCUCAACCCCGGGACUGCUCUGGAAACUGUGCGGCUGGAGUGCAGGAGAGGUAAGUGGAAUUCCUAGUGUAGCGGUGAAAUGCGUAGAUAUUAGGAGGAACACCAGUGGCGAAGGCGGCUUACUGGACUGUAACUGACGUUGAGGCUCGAAAGCGUGGGGAGCAAACAGGAUUAGAUACCCGAGUAGUC